rnacentral:rRNA from 1 species
UACGUAGGGUGCGAGCGUUGUCCGGAAUUAUUGGGCGUAAAGAGCUUGUAGGCGGUUUGUCGCGUCUGCCGUGAAAUUUCGAGGCUCAACCUCGAACUUGCGGUGGGUACGGGCAGACUAGAGUGUGGUAGGGGGAGACUGGAAUUCCUGGUGUAGCGGUGAAAUGCGCAGAUAUCAGGAGGAACACCGGUGGCGAAGGCGGGACUCUGGGCCGAUACUGACGCUGAGGAGCGAAAGCAUGGGGAGCGAACAGG